AUGAUGGCGCUGACGAUGUCGCCGUCGUGCGCCUUGAGGGCCUUGACGGCCUUGGCGCGGGAGACGCUGGCCUGCGUCAUGACGAGGUCGAUGUCGCGGGCCUCGAUGCCGGUCUCGUCCACCACCUCCUCCUCGUCGGCGGGCGCCCCGGCCGCCGCCGCGUCGGGCCUCAUCGCCUUGCUCAGGUCCUGCAUCCUGAACUGCUGCGCCGCCUGCGCCUGCAGCUGCGAGCUCAGGUCCUCGAUCUUGGCCUCCCCGAAGAUCACCUUCAUCAUGGCCUUGCGGCUCUUCUUCUCGCUCCGGCUCUGCUUCGACCCCUCGCUCCCGGCCACACCCAGCUCGCCUUCACGCACAUCAAAACUGCGUCAGACCCUGCCUACGUACGUACUACCUCGUCUGUUUAUUGGUCCAAUUGUAAUCUAUGCCAAACUUUGA
rnacentral:rRNA from 1 species